AUCCUACGGGAGGCAGCAGUGAGGAAUAUUGGUCAAUGGGCGGGAGCCUGAAUCAGCCAAGUCGCGUGAGGGAUGACGGUCCUACGGAUUGUAAACCUCUUUUGCCGGGGAGCAAGCGUGCGUUCGUGAACGCGCGUCGAGAGUACCCGGAGAAAAAGCAUCGGCUAACUCCGUGCCAGCAGCCGCGGUAAUACGGAGGAUGCGAGCGUUAUCCGGAUUUAUUGGGUUUAAAGGGAGCGUAGGCCGGCUUUUAAGUCAGCUGUGAAAGUCCGCGGCUCAACCGUGGAAUUGCAGUUGAAACUGGG
rnacentral:rRNA from 1 species